UUUUUUUUUCAGGAGCACAUACACUAAAAAUGGAACAAUUCAGAGAAAAUUAUCAUAGCCCUGGAUAAGAAUAGCAUGUGGUCUUGUCAAGUGCUCCAUGCAUUU
ensembl:snRNA U6 U6 spliceosomal RNA